AAUAGGAGUGAUGAAACUUUCACCUUAGGUAGAUGCAACAGACCGUUUUGGUCAUUUACUGUAUCUGCCAAUGCUGGGGUAUGUCAUAGUUACACUGACCGUGC